rnacentral:rRNA from 1 species
UACGAAGGGGGCUAGCGUUGCUCGGAAUCACUGGGCGUAAAGCGCACGUAGGCGGACUCUUAAGUCGGUGGUGAAAUCCUGGAGCUCAACUCCAGAACUGCCUUCGAUACUGAGAGUCUCGAGUCCGAGAGAGGUGAGUGGAACUGCGAGUGUAGAGGUGAAAUUCGUAGAUAUCUGGAGGAAUACCGGAGGCGAAGGCGGGUAGCCAGCCAGACACUGACACUCAGACCCGAAAGUGUGGGGAUCAAACAGG